UAGUAGUGUCUGUUUGUAUAAUGCAGUAUUGGAGUGUGUUGAGGUGUGUAUAAUGGAGUAUUGGAGUAGUGUUGAGGUGUGUAUAAUGGAGUAUUGGAGUAGUGUUGAGAUGUGUAUAAUGGAGUAUUGGAGUAAUGUCGAAUCGUCCUGGUAUAAUGGAAUAGGGUUGAGGUGUGUAUAAUGGAGUAGUGUUGAGGUGUGCAUAAUGGGGUAUUGGAGUAGUGUUGAGGUGUGUAUAACUGAGUACUGGAGUAGUGUUGACGUGUGUAUAGUGGGGUAUUGGAGUAGUGUUGAGGUGUGUAUAAUGGAGUAUUGGAGUAGUGUUGAGGUGUGUAUAAUGGAGUAUUGGAGUAGUGUUGAGCUGUGUAUAAUGCAGUAUUGGAGUAGUGUUGAGGUGUGUAUAACUGAGUACUGGAGUAGUGUUGACGUGUGUAUAGUGGGGUAUUGGAGUAGUGUUGAGGUGUGUAUAAUGGAGUAUUGGAGUAGUGUUGAGCUGUGUAUAAUGCAGUAUUGGAGUAGUGUUGAGGUGUGUAUAAUGGAGUAUUGGAGUUGUGUUGAGGUUUCUAUAUAAUGGAGUAUUGGAGUAAUGUUGAGUCUUGGUAUAAUGGAUUGGGUUGAGGUGUUUAUAAUGUAAUAUUGUAGUGUUGAGGUGUGUAUAAUGGAGUAGUGUUGAGGUGUGUAUAAUGGGGUACUGGAGUAGUGUUGAGCCCUGGUUUAAUAGA
rnacentral:lncRNA from 1 species